rnacentral:rRNA from 1 species
GUCUUUUUGAUUAUAAUUUAAAGUCUAACCUGCCCACUGAAAUUUUAAAUGGCCGCAGUAUUUUGACUGUGCAAAGGUAGCAUAAUCAAUAGUUUCUUAAUUAGAAGCUGGAAUGAAUGGUUGGACGAGAAAUUAACUGUCUUUAUUUAUUAAUUAAAAUUUUAUUUUUAAGUCAAAAAGCUUAAAUAAUUUUAAAAGACGAGAAGACCCUAUAGAGUUUAAUAAUUUGUAAAAUUUAAAUUUUAGAAUUGUAUUUAUUUUAAUAAUUAUUUUGUUGGGGUGAUAUAUAAAUUUAAAAAACUUUAUAUGUUUUUAUACAUUGAUAUAUGAUAUUAUGAUCCAUUAUUUAUGAUUAAAAGAAAAAAUUACCUUAGGGAUAACAGCGUUAUUUUUUUUUAGAGUUCAAAUCGAAAAAAAAGUUUGCGACCUCGAUGUUGGAUUAAAAUUAAUUUUUGGUGUAGGAGCUAAAAAAUUAGGUCUGUUCGACCUUUAAAAUUUUACAUGAUCUGAGUUUAAACCGGUGUGAGCCAGGUUGGUUUCUAUCUUUAAAAUAAUAAAAUAUUUUAGUACGAAAGGACCAAGUAUUUUUAAAAUUUAAUUUAAUUUGAAUA